CAUAGACAUAAUAUUGCCUGAUAUCAUGGUAUUAAACAAAACAGAUAACAGAAAUCACAUUUUGCAAAGCACAGUAUAAUUCACAGUUAUCCCUCAAUGUUACUGUGAUGUUCUGUUGUUUAUCUGGAGAAAGGGAGACCUCUAGUGGUGACUCCUAACGUGAUGUUUAUGUUGUACUAGCAGUCUUGCUACAGUUCGAUGAUAGAUGGUGAAGUAAAUGGUCACAUAUUUUCUCUUUGGAUUUAAGUUGGCCAGAAAAACGUUUGCCUUUUUACAGUACUUUUCGAGUAAAGUUUGGAAAGGAUACACAGGCUUCUUUCUUGUCUUUAGGAAACUGUUAGAUAUCUGCCAAGCUAAUGUAACAGGCUGGACCGUGCCACACACACACAGAAGCGGGGGCAGAACAAUUACUAGAAUUUCAGCAAUAUGCUGAAAGUGCAAUCGAGCAAGUGAUUGAUAAUUUUGACACAGCGAAGGAUAAGGACACCCUGGCACAGUGCAACCCUUAAUUUGCAGCUUGGAUGCUCAGUGAGAUGCAGUACCGAUGAUGACAGCACUGCGUGGGUACGGUGGGUUGAAAUUCCACAUGGCUUGUGAAACAGUCAUCAGGGAAUAAGGGGCAUUCUAUUCUGACUGGGCAAAGCUGAGAAAGAUUGGCAAGCACAAUUCCAGUGUCCAGUGAGCCUGUAAGUGUGGAUUCUCACUCUAGAACACGAUAAAAACAGCCCUUGUUUUAUUUUUUUGUUGUAGCCUAUAUGCUCAGUUUGCAAAGU